AGGUCAGGCGGGACUACCCGCUGAGUUUAAGCAUU
rnacentral:rRNA from 1 species